rnacentral:tRNA from 3 species
GCGGGCGUAGCUCAGCCUGGUAGAGCGACAGCUUGCCAUGCUGUAGGUCGCGGGUUCGAAUCCCGUCGCCCGCUCCA